GCGCUUAAUUAUAAAGGUUUGGCAGCACAUAUACUAAAAUUGGAAUGAUACAGAGAAGAUUAGCAUUGCCCCUGAGCAAGGAUGACAUGCAAAUUCAUGAAGCGUUCCAUAUUAAA
rnacentral:snRNA from 1 species